rnacentral:rRNA from 1 species
GACGAACGCUGGCGGCGUGCUUAACACAUGCAAGUCGAGCGGUAAGGCCCUUUCGGGGGUACACGAGCGGCGAACGGGUGAGUAACACGUGGGUGACCUGCCCUCAGCUCUGGGAUAAGCCUGGGAAACUGGGUCUAAUACUGGAUAUGACUCCACGGUGCAUGUCGUGGGGUGGAAAGCCUUGUGCGGCUGAGGAUGGGCCCGCGGCCUAUCAGCUUGUUGGUGGGGUGAUGGCCUACCAAGGCGACGACGGGUAGCCGGCCUGAGAGGGCGACCGGCCACACUGGGACUGAGACACGGCCCAGACUCCUACGGGAGGCAGCAGUGGGGAAUCUUGCGCAAUGGGCGAAAGCCUGACGCAGCGACGCCGCGUGAGGGAUGACGGCCUGUGU